CCACAGACCGCCCCCCGCCGUUCUAAGGGCACCGGCAGAUGCGCCUUGAUGUCCUCGUUCUUCACGCCGGAGGAAUCGAGCUCAGACGCUCCCAGUCACCGCCAAUCCCGUCGUUUCUUCUUCGUCUCCGGUAGCAAAAUUGGACGAUUCCGGCCGCCACACCCUUCUCCGGCCUUCGGCGUCUGCACCAUCAUCUUCCUGGUGAUGUUCCCGUUCCCCUGGACCUCUUCUUCAUCCCCGUCUUUCUCUGGUUCGAUCCAACGUCGGUGACCGUCGUUUUGUUCCGCAGGACCUCACCGCCGGUGCAGCUCCGGCGACUCCUUGGUGCCGGCUUCGCCACUCCCAACUUCCCUGCAUCAAGGUGCUGAAGCUCGUUUGUUUCCUGAGCGGGUUCUAAAGGCUGCAUCUCGCCCUAUUGACACGAUCAGAAUCAUAGCCUACUGAUCCAGCACCUACUGGGCCUCGGCCCGUUUUCUCGCCAGCUUCUUCGAUGCUGAGCGCGUGGCAGGCCGCUAUCCGCUGCUCAGCGAUUUGCUUCUUCCCGGAUAGGAUCACGAAGUGGUGUGGUGAGAUAC